GCGCAUGUCACUAAGGACAACUGUGUCUGCCUUGCUUUUGUGCCAUCUGAAAUGCAGCACACUGGAGAAUUUGGAAAACAGUCUCCGUUGUAUUGAGCAGUUUUCUGAUUUACUCGAGCACGAAAAAAUACGGCGCAGAAGAAAAGCGAGCAUUUUGGUGUCAUACAGACCUCCUACUCCAUGAUCAUGAUGAACAAGUGAAUCACUUCAGUUCUCCAAGCUCCACUUUCACCAAAUGUAAAAGAAGAAAACCAUUCCUACUUCGAGAGUUUGUGUGGAUUAAAUGAGAUAAUGGGUACACAGAUGACACAUUAUAUUCAAAAUGGUAACUUCCCUUCUACCACUUCACAAUAACUCACAUGCUGUAGGCAUUCCAACGCCCACUCUCAUAAGCAAACUUCAAGUCUUUUUCAAGGUAUUACUUCAUAAAGCCAGACAUGUUUUCUGCCUUGUUCACAGAAGAUUCUCACUGCCUAAAACAGUGUCCACC
rnacentral:lncRNA from 1 species